rnacentral:rRNA from 1 species
UACGAAGGGGGCUAGCGUUGCUCGGAAUCACUGGGCGUAAAGCGCACGUAGGCGGAUCUUUAAGUCAGGGGUGAAAUCCCAAGGCUCAACCUUGGAACUGCCUUUGAUACUGGGGAUCUCGAGUCCGGAAGAGGUUGGUGGAACUGCGAGUGUAGAGGUGAAAUUCGUAGAUAUUCGCAAGAACACCAGUGGCGAAGGCGGCUUACUGGUCCGGAUCUGACGCUGAGGUGCGAAAGCGUGGGGAGCAAACAGG